AUCCUCUGCUGUGGUCUAUGGCUUUUUAUUCCUAUGUGAUUACUUUUUAUAAUUCAUGUAGGGCUAAAAGCCAUGGGUUACACAAAGGAAU
rfam:Ophiophagus hannah scaffold1052.1, whole genome shotgun sequence.